CCAGAUAUUGCUGAACUACAACUCCCAUGAUUCUUUGAAUUACGUAGAUAGCCAGAGAAUCAUGGGAGUUGUAGUUCAGCAACAUCUCGGGGGCCGGAGUUUGAGGACCCAUGCUUUAAACAGUCUAUGUGGUUUCAUGUUAAGAAAUUCAUAGAAUAGACGACCUUAUCCCACAUAUAAUUCCAGGAAUCUUUACACCCCUUUGCGAUGUAUAUGGAGUACUUAAAAUACCACCUAUUUACUUAUUACACUGCUAUAAACUCACAACUCUGUCCCAUGUACGAUUACAACAAGUGGCCAUAAUUAGGGAUCAACCGAUUAUCGGUUUUACCGAUAUAAUCGGCCGAUAUUCGGUAUUUUCGGCAAUAUCGGUAUCGGCCAAUUCAGAUACCGAUAUUGCCGAUAAUAUCUCCUAGGACCGCCGGGCUCAUUACAAGCCCAGCGGUCCUGGGGCGAGCGGGCAUCAAGCGCUUACUCACCUCCCAGCAGCUCCUCCAGCUCCCCAGUGC